rnacentral:lncRNA from 1 species
UCAAUUUAAAUUAAUAAUUAAGAGCUCAAAUAAUUUAAAUAGAUAUAAGCCCAAAUUAAUUAGAUAAAUUAAGUCUAUCAUGUUUUUCUUUGAAUAAGGCUCAAACAAUUAAAUUAAAAUAGGUCCAAAUCCUUUAAUUAAAAGAAGCCCAUCAGAUUUUAUUUGUAAAGGGCCGAGCCCAAACAUUUAAAUCGAAGCCCAUCUGUUAAUUAAAUAAGGGCCCAAACAAUUUAAUUAAAAUCGACCCAAGUCUCGGCCCAAACAAUUAAUAAAAUCGGCCCAAGAGGGAGCCCAAUAUUUUCGGCCCAAACCCGGCUCAAACCCGGCCCAAACCCGGCUGAAACCCGGCCCAAACCCGGC